UGGGGAAUAUUGCACAAUGGGCGAAAGCCUGAUGCAGCGACGCCGCGUGAGGGAUGACGGCCUUCGGGUUGUAAACCUCUUUCAGCAGGGACGAAGCGCAAGUGACGGUACCUGCAGAAGAAGCACCGGCUAACUACGUGCCAGCAGCCGCGGUAAUACGUAGGGUGCAAGCGUUGUCCGGAAUUACUGGGCGUAAAGAGUUCGUAGGCGGUUUGUCGCGUCGUUUGUGAAAACCAGCAGCUCAACUGCUGGCUUGCAGGCGAUACGGGCAGACUUGAGUACUGCAGGGGAGACUGGAAUUCCUGGUGUAGCGGUGAAAUGCGCAGAUAUCAGGAGGAAGACCGGUGGCGACGACGGGUCUCUGGGCAGUAACUGACGCUGAGGAACGAAAGCGUGGGUAGCGAACAGG
rnacentral:rRNA from 1 species